UAUGUGAACAUGUUACAAAGUGCCGCAGUAGACCGUGGAUGAACAGUGUCGUAUGUGUGGAAGCUGUACAUUUUGGACAGGAUGGGUUUAUAAAUGAGGCUAUAGUCGGUUUCGUAACAGGAGUCGGAGAGACUGAUUGCUUGUCGGGCCUGGAUCUCGAACCGGUCACGGUGUUAUUACACUGAUGUUAAAGCCAGUCAGCAGGCGUCUCAUAUAUGAUAUAAAGAAAUUGCGUGAAUGUUCGUUCCCUUGCGUAUGAGACGCAUAACUAAUAUUACACGAAAUAAUUAUUUUUCUCAUUUCAGUCAAAUCCAAUGUGCUACCGGCAUUUUGGCAUUGAAGGACAUUGCUUACCGGUGUGCCGAGUGCAUUUGUCGGCAUUAUUAAUGUAUAACAAGUUUUCUUUACACUGACAGGACAUUGUUCGUAUUACACAGGGAAUUACAUGGAGGUUGCUUCAGUGUGAUAAAAUAGUUGUUGUUGUUGUUGUUUGUGUAUUAUUUAAUUUAUUCAUUUGUUUUUUCAGUUUAGAACAUAUUCCGAGCUUUCAGCUUCAGCCCGCAUCAGGCCGUCGUCAGAUACAUUCUGCCUUGAAUGGGAUGCUUCUAUUCUGAUUUGCUUUUCAGGUUUACAACGCAGGUCUGUGUUACUAAGAAAAUAUUUAACGGGGCUGAUUUCCUGGGUCGGCCUCGUGCAGUUUCCUUAAUAUGUAUUUGUCCUGGUACCGACUGGAAACACAACUUGACGGUAUUUGUAUUUCAGUUUUGCUCGAUUCUUUCUACUUCAUUCUUUAGAUAGGACUUUUCCUGUUGGGACUUUUAUUCAUGUUUUUCUGUAUGUUGUUUUUUCAUAGCAUUUAUGUGUUUCAAUUUUUAAAUGUGCAUUUCAGAUACUUUGUUGUCUGUGCUGAAAGAGGUUGUCUGGUAAUAGUUAUUUUAAUAUUCUUUUCACUGUUUCAGCUAACAUAUAUGUAGAAAAUUAUUCAGUUGCAGUGUUUUAAUGACAGACUUCCUGUAAAGUUCCUGAACCAGUUGAUAUCAGAAUGAUAAAGAAAUGAUAGAUGGUACCAAUCUGUGAAUAUUAUGUCACUUUUUUCUAUAGGUGUUCCUGAUCACACUUAGAACUAUACACACACACACUCAGCUGUUUCUCAAGAAAGGCCGACACCGGUUCACAAUCUUUCUUUUGUCAUUUGCAGGCGAUGAAUUCCAUAUGUCAGAAGGAAAUUUAGAAUCGUACAACCAGUCAGCAGCUACCCAUAAACCAGACCAACCUAUUAAGUCGAGCGGGCAGAAGCUGUUAUUCCCAGUGUAACACCGCAGAAUGACGGUUAGUUUUCGGAUUACAUUUCUGUGCGGAAGGAUUAAAAAACUACACCAGACUGGUGGCCAUGACAGAUGUCAGUGGGAAAUUUAAACAUGGACUAGAUACUUUGAUGUGUAGCAAAAAAAGUUCAUCGUUGAUGGUGGUGUUUUUCUGUGAUAUAUUGACUGGGAUAGUAUUACUCUUCAAAAAUACAGAGCUGUCAAUGCUGCAAUUUUGUUGUGAAAUUCACAAUCCAUGUCCAAAAGUGCUUGUUUUACUAUACAGCAAAGAAGGAGAAAUUGUACCGGGCCGACACCAGUAAUCCGUAUCGAUCCGUACCUGAGCCGUACGUAUCGGUACGGAUUGAUUCGGAUAACUACAUUAAGGUACGGCUCAGGUACGUAUCGUUACGGAUUACUACGUUUCUAUCCGUGGUCAAACGUAGCUGUCCGCGCCGUAUGUGUGACUGUGGUAUAAAGUAGCGGGUCGGUAAGUUUCAUAAAAAUUGGACCACGUGUCGCCAGCGUUUUCAUUACGAUUAUCUUUGACAUCAAGUCAAACUACGGCAAGGUACGUUUCAGUACGGAUAACUACGUUUAGUACGUUUAACUACGGAUGAAUAAGUUUCGGCCAAGUUGGACUAAGUCACGCUCAAAUGGCUACGGAUCGCUCAAACGUUUGUGCAUGUUUAAAAGUUGGAGAAACUUGCAAGUUGGGGGUACGUCUUGAAUACGUUUUGACCAAGUGUCAAUACGGAUUGAUACGGAUUACUACUUUGACGUACGGCACAGGUACGGAUCGAUACGAAUAACUACGUUUCUAUCCGUGGCUAAACGUAGCUAUCCGCGCCGUAUGUGUGACUGGGGUAUAAACAGGGUCCUUACAGACUUUGAUAAGUAUAUAGUUUAUCUUGUCUGGGGGAGAGUUCUAAUCUAGAAGCAGGUUACGACUUAAGCGGUAUAAAACUUACAUAGAGAGUUUGUUUUGUUUUCCUUCUAAUACAAUCUAACACGACCAGAUUAUCACAGAGUAACAGCUAUCAGUGUGAGUUUUACAACUACAUUCCAGUCUUACUUGAAUAUAAGCAGCUGAAAUGUUAAGCUGAAAGAUCGGAUGCAAUGAAAUAAAAUAAAAUCUAAUUAGAAAUUAUAAUUUGAAGUACAUUGUAUAUAAAAUAAAAAUAAGAACAGAAAUGCCUAUGCAAUUCUUUCGUAAGCCAGGAGUCCAUACGUUUUCGAACCCAAUUUCUGUCCACGAGGUGAAUUCAUACAAGACUCAGUUUGUCUGACGAUAUUCAUGCGAAGUAUUGAAAUAUGCAAAACUCUGCACAACCCAAAGGUCCGACGUAAAUGAAACGUUAUUUUCAAAUUGAUAAAAUUGAAUGGAUUUUAAGACCAAAGGAUAAAAAAAAUAUUACAAUACAGGUAGACCUGAU